rnacentral:tRNA from 1 species
ACUGGUGUGGCGGAAUGGCAGACGCUGGAGACUUAAAAUCUCCUGAGACGUAUGUGCUCGUGAAGGUUCAAAUCCUUUCACCAGUAUCA